rnacentral:rRNA from 1 species
UACGAAGGGGGCUAGCGUUGCUCGGAAUCACUGGGCGUAAAGCGCACGUAGGCGGCUUACUAAGUCAGGGGUGAAAUCCUGGAGCUCAACUCCAGAACUGCCUUUGAUACUGGUGAGCUUGAGUUCGGGAGAGGUGAGUGGAACUGCGAGUGUAGAGGUGAAAUUCGUAGAUAUUCGCAAGAACACCAGUGGCGAAGGCAGCUCUCUGGGACGGUACUGACGCUGAGACGCGAAAGCGUGGGGAGCGAACAGG